GAAUCGCUAGUAAUCGCGAAUCAGAAUGUCGCGGUGAAUACGUUCCCGGGUCUUGUACACACCGCCCGUCACACCAUGGGAGCCGACAACGCCCGAAGUCAGUGACCUAACCGAGAGGGAGGAGCUGCCGAAGGCGGGGUUGGUAACUGGGGUGAAGUCGUAACAAGGUAAC
rnacentral:rRNA from 1 species